AACGAACGCUGGCGGCAUGCCUAACACAUGCAAGUCGAACGAGACCUCCGGGUCUAGUUGCGCACGGGUGCGUAACGAGUGGGAACCUGCCCUUAGGUUACGAAUACCUCCCCGAAGGGGGUGCUAAUGACGGAUCAUGUCUUCGGACCAACGAUAGAUCGCCGUUGGAUGGGCCCGAGUUGGAUUAGCUGGUUGGUAGGGUAAAAGCCUACCAAGGGCUGGUUCCAGAGCUGGUCUGAGAGGAAGAGCAGCCACACUGGGGCGAGGACACGGCCCAGACUCCUACGGAAGGCAGCAGAGGGGAAUACAGGAAAAGGGACGGAGGCCUGAUGCAGCAAGGCCGGGUAAGUGAUGAUGGCCGUAGGGAUGUAAAGCGCGUUUACCCGGGAUGAUAGUGACGGUACCGGGAGAAUAAGCACCGGCUAACUCCGUG
rnacentral:rRNA from 1 species